rnacentral:lncRNA from 1 species
UUUUGUAGAAAGUUUUUGAUGUGUAACGAUAGAAGUCACAAACACAGUCUUUAGUCUGUUAUUAACCAUUUAUGGCGGCACAGUCUUUAGUUCUAUUUCAUACACUACUGGGAUGAAAUAUCUAGAGAGCCUUUCCUUUACUUCAGUGCGUUAGCUUCUCCUUGGUUUUGGAUCCGAAGUCAGCUAUCUGAAUAUUGGUCUUAGCUCAACUUCAUUGCAGACGGCCUUUGGGAAAAUGCAUGGGCAACCAAAGGUUUUUCCUUUCUCUGGAUGUGUAGCCACUGGCUUCUUAGAUGAGAAACUUGUGCUCCUCUGCUUGUCCUCAGGUGUACCACACCCGAAAAGUGGUGAUCACUUGUUAUAUUGCUCAAGCAAUAUAACGAGCGGUUGGGGUUCAUGUAUUUUUCUUCUUUCUGUCCCUUCUCUUUUGUUAUAUUUUUUUAUUACUCCAUUUUUCACUAUUAGCAUGCCUUUCUUUUAUAGUAGUAGAAAGGGAGGGGC